UGAGGAACUUUGCGCAAUGGGGGAAACCCUGACGCAGCGACGCCGCGUGGAGGACGAAGGCCUUCGGGUCGUAAACUCCUGUCAGAGGUGAAGAAUACCCGCAAGGGUUUGACGGUAACCUCAGAGGAAGCCCCGGCUAACUACGUGCCAGCAGCCGCGGUAAUACGUAGGGGGCAAACGUUACUCGGAAUUACUGGGCGUAAAGGGUGCGUAGGCGGCUGGGAAAGUCAAGGAUGAAAUCCCGUGGCUUAAACUGCGGAACUGUCCUUGAAACUUCCCAGCUUGAGGAUAAUCGAAGAGAACGGAAUUCCCGGUGGAGCGGUGAAAUGCGUAGAUAUCGGGAGGAACACCUGAGGCGAAAGCGGUUCUCUAGACUACUCCUGACGCUGAGGCACGAAAGCUAGGGGAGCGAAACGGGAUUAGGAUACCCCGGUAGUCCUAGCCAUCAACGAUGGAUACUGGAUAUUCCUGCACUCAUGUGGGAGUGUCGAAGCUAACGCGUUAAGUAUCCC
rnacentral:rRNA from 1 species